GUGGGGAAUAUUGGACAAUGGGCGAAAGCCUGAUCCAGCCAUGCCGCGUGAGUGAUGAAGGCCUUAGGGUUGUAAAGCUCUUUCAGUAGGGAAGAUAAUGACGGUACCUACAGAAGAAGCCCCGGCUAACUUCGUGCCAGCAGCCGCGGUAAUACGAAGGGGGCUAGCGUUGUUCGGAUUUACUGGGCGUAAAGCGCACGUAGGCGGAUUGGUCAGUUAGAGGUGAAAUCCUGGAGCUCAACUCCAGAACUGCCUUUAAUACUGACAGUCUAGAGUCCAGAAGAGGUGAGUGGAACUCCUAGUGUAGAGGUGGAAUUCGUAGAUAUUAGGAAGAACACCAGUGGCGAAGGCGGCUCACUGGUCCGGUACUGACGCUGAGGUGCGAAAGCGUGGGGAGCAAACAGGAUUAGAAACCCUAGUAGUCC
rnacentral:rRNA from 1 species